rnacentral:rRNA from 1 species
UAGGGAAUCUUCCGCAAUGGACGCAAGUCUGACGGAGCAACGCCGCGUGAGUGAAGAAGGAUUUCGGUUCGUAAAACUCUGUUGCUAGAGAAGAACAGCGCAUAGAGUAACUGUUAUGCGUGUGACGGUAUCUAACCAGAAAGCCACGGCUAACUACGUGCCAGCAGCCGCGGUAAUACGUAGGUGGCAAGCGUUAUCCGGAAGUAUUGGGCGUAAAGCGCGCGUAGGCGGUUUUUUAAGACUGAUGUGAAAGCCCCCGGCUCAACCGGGGAGGGUCAUUGGAAGCUGGUUGACUUGAGUGCAGAAGAGGAUAUGGGAAUUCCAUGUGUAGCGGUGAAAUGCGUAGAUAUAUGGAGGGACACCAGUGGCGAAGGCUACUUGCUGGACUUCAACUGACGCUGAGGAACGAAAGCGUGGGUAGCAAACAGG